AAAGAAACUAACAAGGAUUCCCCUAGUAACUGCGAGUGAAGCGGGAAAAGCUCAAAUUUAAAAUCUGGCAGUCUUUGGCUGUCCGAGUUGUAAACUAGAGAAGUGUUAUCCGCGCUGGACCGUGUAAAAGUCUCCUGGAAUGGAGCAUCAUAGAGGGUGAGAAUCCCGUCUUUGACAUGGACUACCAGUGCUUUGUGAUGCGCUCUCAAAGAGUCGAGUUGUUUGGGAAUGCAGCUCAAAAUGGGUGGUAAAUUCCAUCUAAAGCUAAAUAUUGGCGAGAGACCGAUAGCGAACAAGUACCGUGAGGGAAAGAUGAAAAGAACUUUGGAAAGAGAGUUAAACAGUACGUGAAAUUGCUGAAAGGGAAACGCUUGAAGUCAGUCGCGUUGGCCAGGAAUCAACCUUGCUUUUGCUGGGCGUACUUUCUGGUUGACGGGUCAGCAUCAAUUUUGACUGUUGGAAAAAGUUCAAGGGAAUGUGGCAUCUUCGGAUGUGUUAUAGCCCUCGUUCGCAUACAGCAGUUGGGAUUGAGGAACUCAGCACGCCGCAAGGCCGGGUUUCGACCACGUUCGUGCUUAGGAUGCUGGCAUAAUGGCUUUAAUCGACCCGUCUUGAAACACGGACCAAGGAGUCUAACAUGCCUGCGAGUGUUUGGGUGGAAAACCCAAGCGCGCAAUGAAAGUGAAAGUUGAGAUCCCUGUCGUGGGGAGCAUUGACGCCCGGACCAGACCUUUUGUGACGGAUCCGCGGUAGAGCAUGCAUGUUGGGACCCGAAAGAUGGUGAACUAUGCCUGAAUAGGGUGAAGCCAGAGGAAACUCUGGUGGAGGCUCGUAGCGAUUCUGACGUGCAAAUCGAUCGUCAAAUUUGGGUAUAGGGGCGAAAGACUAAUCGAACCAUCUAGUA
rnacentral:rRNA from 1 species